AGAUGUGUAUAAGAGACAGGCGGUAUGCUUAACACAUGCAAGUCGUACGGAAAAGAAAUUUUUAGUGGCGAACGGGUGCGUAACACGUAAGAAUCUGCCUUUAGGAAGGGGAUAACAUUUAGAAACAUUUGCUAAUACCCUAUAUGCUUUACAGUGAAAGAAUUUAUUCGCCUAAAGAGGAGCUUGCGUCUGAUUAGCUAGUUGGUAGGGUAAAGGCCUACCAAGGCGACGAUCAGUAGUUGGUCUGAGAGGACGGCCAGCCACAUUGGAACUGAGACACGGUCCAGACUCUUACGGGAGGCAGCAGUGAGGAAUUUUCUGCAAUGGGCGCAAGCCUGACAGAGCAAUACCGCGUGAGGGAUGACUGCCUACGGGUUGUAAACCUCUUUUCUCAAGGAGGAAGAUAUGACGUUACUUGAGGAAUAAGCAUCGGCUAACCCUGUGCCAGCAGCCGCGGUAAUACAGGGGAUGCAAGUGUUAUCCGGAAUUAUUGGGCGUAAAGCGUCUGCAGGUUGAUCUAUAAGUCUUUUGUCAAAUCUUUGGGCUUAACCCAAAAACAGCAAAAGAAACUAUUUAUCUUGAGUAUGGUAGAGGUAAGGGGAAUUUCGAGUGGAGCGGUGAAAUGCGUAGAUAUUCGAAAGAACACCAAUAGCGAAGGCACCUUACUGGGCCAUUACUGACACUCAGAGACGAAAGCUAGGGUAGCAAACGGGAUUAGAUACCCCGGUAGUCCUAGCUGUAAACGAUGGAUACUAGAUGUUGCGUACUUUAUAGUAUGCAGUGUCGUAGCUAACGCGUUAAGUAUCCCGCCUGGGAAGUAUGCGCGCAAGCGUGAAACUCAAAGGAAUUGACGGGGGCCCGCACAAGCGGUGGAGCAUGU
rnacentral:rRNA from 1 species